rnacentral:lncRNA from 1 species
GAAGAACUAUUGCAGAGCAAAAUUUGAGACCUAUACUUAAAGGAAUAACUGAAUACAUUGAUAGAAACUGAUGAGAGAGAGAGAGAGAGAGAGAGAUGUCUAUAACAUUUGAAGAGCAGAUGGCGCAACUAUAUUCAGCAUCAUUUCUAAAGUGAGGGUGUAACAUUGUGCAUCCCUUGAGAACAAUUACUUAGACUCAAUAUAAUUUUUAAGUAAAAAGCUUUUUGUUUCCAUUGUAGGAAUUACUUCAAAAACAAAGAAACAACAAUGGGGCAUAAUUCAUGCAAAACAUUCUGCCAGUGCUGGCACUGGCAGAAACGUGGAUGAACUAGAAAAGAAACUGACAAAUCUUGUUUCAAAACACAGAAACUUAUACUCGGACUAUAGGAGGUCGCUAACCCAAACAGCAGACAACCGGAAGAUGAAUCUCAUGAACCAGAAAUACUGGUGAUUGAAUUAAGAUCUGAAGUUACAAGAAAAGCAACAGUUACUUCUUCUGCUUCAUCAUGCAGUGUUUGUCAGAUAUGCGCCAGCAAUAUCCACAAAAUACAAGAACUGAAAAAAAGGAAAUUGGAUUUAGAAAUUAAAUUCUUGGAGAAGAAAUUAAAAGAAGAAUGAACGGGGAUUUAAGCUAACACUUAUCACUUUAUAAUGCAAUAAUCAUUAACUUUUCAAAUUCAUGUAUUAGUAUACAUUCUAUUUUCUAUUUAUCACAUGUUACAUGUUGCGGGAGUGAAAUAAGGCCAAUGAAUAAUGUAAGAUUCUUUCACUGGUUGUAGGGGCAGAUGGGAAUUUCCGGCCUCAAGAGUAACUCUAUAUGCGGUAACUAAGUUCCUACCGCGUUACCGCCUAAAAAGUUACUCGAGAGCCGGAUAUUCCCAUCUGCACCUAUAACCAGUGACCGAAACUUUUUCUUGCAUACCGAUAUCAAGGUAUGAUAAUAAAAAUAAAAUCGAUACAACGGCUUUCUU